UACGGGGGGUGCGAGCGUUGUCCGGAAUCACUGGGCGUAAAGGGCGCGUAGGUGGUCUGUUAAGGGUGUGGUGAAAGCCCGGGGCUCAACCCCGGGUCGGCCGUGCCGACUGUUAGACUAGAGUGCUGUAGGGGCAGGCGGAAUUCCGGGUGUAGCGGUGGAAUGCGUAGAGAUCCGGAGGAAGACCGGUGGCGAAGGCGGCCUGCUGGGCAGAUACUGACACUGAGGCGCGACAGCGUGGGGAGCAAACAGG
rnacentral:rRNA from 1 species